CUGCAGGUCGUUGUUACUCAGGUCCAGGUCUCUCAGACUGGAGGACUGGGAGCUGAGGACUGAGGACAGAACUUCACAGCUUCUCUCUGACAGGUUACAUCCAGUGAACCUGAGAGGACAUGUAAACAUUUGUCAAAGCUGUUAUUAUUUUUUAAAUGAUUAAAGCCAUGUGUGGUGAGUUGGCUCUCCCUCCCUGCCACUGCAUGGCACUGUGGCAGCUUUAAGUCGCUCAAGGUUGCUGGGUGGUGCCGUCCAUUGUAGACAGGUGUGUGUGACCCACACUCUUUCUCUCAUUCCGUCCCACUCACCUGCCAGGUGGCUGCAGCGUGGUGUGGCAGGGAAAUUGCUGGCGUGGCAGAGGCUAUCGUUUGGCGUGUUAAGCCGUCGUGGCGGACGCUACCUUAAGACAGCUGGUUGCUGGAGCGAGGACGGCAUUCCCCUCUGCUUGAGGCUGGUCUGGGUUGGACUGUUUCGUCGGCAAGUGCAGAGGGCUUUUGCGGCAGUCCAGUUCCUGGUGGUGGUGUUUUCUUCACAAGUUCCUUUUGUUGGUGUGCAGUGUCACAGUGGUUAGUUUAUGGACUCCUCCCCUUUUGUUUUGGUUCCUGCCACAUUGUUUACAGUGAGGACUCUUCAGUCCAGCAGACAGUUUCUCCACUCCUGAAUCCUGCAGGUCGUUGUAUCUCAGGUCCAGGUCUCUCAGACUGGAGGACUUGGAGCUGAGGACUGAGGACAGAGCUGCACAGCUUCUCUCUGACAGGUUACAUUCAGUGAGCCUGAGAGGACAUGUAAACAUUUGUCAAAGCUGUUAUUAUUU